GUGAAAGUUGUUUCAACGUCUAUUCGUAGACGUUGAAAAGACGUUCACGUAUAGACCCGUUUUCAACGUGAUUUAUAAUAUCGGUGGUAAACUUACAAAUGUGGACGUAGUUUCCUUUUAAACCUCUAAAAUAAUGAUAUAGCACACAAGAGAGGACGAAAUAUUACCGUAUUAAAAAAUCACGUUGAAAUGUGGUCUAAACAUAGACGUCUUUUCAACGUCUACGAAUAGACGUUGAAACAACUUUCACUUUUAAACCAUUUUGCAACGUCGGGCAUAGACGUCUUUUCAACGUCGGGCAUAGACGUCUUUUAAACGUCUUUUCAACCAAAAAAUGCUCACUGGGAUAAGUUAACGUAACCUUAUUUGAAGGUAAUGGUGGGUUUCCCCUGCCUGUCGUAAAUGGCAUGCCUGACCACACUAGCUAUACACUCCAAAUUCGAUUGAAUUAACGUUAGGUAACAAGAAACAUUGGUUUAAAAAAUAAAUUUCUUUGCUGUUACCACGGACAUAUCACGUUAAUUAUGUAUAUUUGCGUAUUAUGAUCCUUGGCAGACUAUCGCGUUGGCACCACAACAUCCCUGCCUAAAACUGAAGUAACUGCCCCUCUCCCCCUUUGCCAUUCAGAUAUUUAGUCAAUUAUUUAUGAUCAAGGUGAUAAUGAGAUAGGAUCAGACAUCUGUCAAGUAAACCGUGCAAAUGUGAUUUGAUAUCGCUCAGAGAGACAGCAAAUAAUUAUUUCAGUGUUGACUUGCUGUCGACAUCCCAUCAUCAUUUGAACCCUAUACCUAAACCCCCCGGUAGGGUCAAUUUAAUGGCAAAUAAUAUAGUUUUGCUUCAAGUCAUGUUGGAAGAUUAAAUAUGUAAAUGUUAAAAAUAGGUUUCUGUAUUGUAGUCAAUUCACUCAAACCACAUAGAAUUCCCUGAGUUUAUCUGUUGGAAAUAUUUGACUUUUUUUAACUGAUUCCUGAUCAUGAAUAUGAAUUGAUGUGUUCUGUGGAAAUGAAUAAAAAAAGAUUAAUACCUGUUAGUUGACCAAGAUCGAGCUUUGAUUACAAAAGGGCCUUCCAAAACUGCUGUUCACUAGGAAUUGAAGGCAGGAUUAAGGUUGCUCUCCUUUGAGUCACACUGUGAAAGAAAGAUCCAUUUGGACUCUGUGUAACAUUUGCCAACAGAGAAACAACCACUUUUUUAAUCACUGUUCUUUAACCCAGAUGAAGACCCUCCUUACCAGUUAGUGUUUUUUCUCUUGCAGAUUAAUCUUGGCUUGAUGACUGCUCAGAAGGGUGUUUUAAAGCCCUCACGUGGGAAAACCAUUCCCUUAUCAACCGUCUCUGACAUCACCGCUCAAAGUCUUCUUCAUCACAGUGUGAAGAAAAUGAGGGACUUUAACCAAGACCUGGGUGAAGGAGCCUUCAUCCUUCUGUAUCCAGAUGCAUCUGAAGUCAUCAAUACCCCUGGGACACAAAGACCUUUUAUUCUAGAAAAAUAUAAAGCAGAAUUAGGCAAACCAUAUUCAAGGAUCACAAUUUUUAUCUGCCCAAAGACGGUCUUUGAAGAAGUUGGAAAAGUGUCUGACAUUUCUGACUCUGACACAGAGAUUGUGAUAAAAAGAGCCCUCACAACAUUUGAGCUAGCUGACACGUUGCCAUGUGAACCUGUGCAUGAAAGCAGUGCAAUACAGACGAAUACAGAGGAUAUCCGUCCAAGUACCUCCGGAUGUCCUCGAAUGGCGAGAACAUAUUACAGCAACUACACAGACCUGUAUGCGCCUAUCGUCAGUGAUGACGACGACGAUGAAGAUGAAGUUCUAACUGUCAAAGAAAAUAAUGAGGCAUCUCCUAGAACCAAUGUGAGUCAUGAGUGCUAUAUUAUUAUAGUAUUAUCCAUCCAUUGUACGAGUAGUCAUUGGCGCUUUCCAUUGACCACAGCAAAGUCAACAGAUUCCACGUGUCCAGAUCUAAUGUAUGGGAUGGUGCUGUCAGAGGUUUUCAGCGUUGCACGUACUCCGAGGAGAAUGACAUGUUUGUGAAGUUUACCGAUGAAGAAGGCCUAGAUACCGGCGGGCCGAGGCGGGAAUUCCUCACGCUUCUGAUGAAUGAUCUGAUCUUUAACGGACCUCCAGCAAGCCGUUACCUGGUGUACAACUCUACAGGUGUCUGUUUUUCAUGGAAUUUCUUUUUUUUUGUCCAAAUAUUUUGAUGAAAGUAUUAUUUUUGUUGUACAUUAAGUCACACUUUCUGCCAAAUUUAAGCACUUUAAAAUAAGGGUUAAGGCUGGACACGACCCCUUUAGUCUUGUUAAACUUUCUGGCCAUAGUCCCAUGAUUUACCACUUGAAUGCUUUAAAAGUGACUGCAGAUUAGAUUGUGUGACAUUCACAAAUGGUAAAGCAUGUUCAGUGAAAAGCUUGUUUGUGGGUUGAGUGUUUUGACAGUGAAGUAGCUCUUACUGAUAGUCAGAGAUUUAAGGUUGAAACAUAUUAUGUCAUCAUUGACAGACUUUGUUUGUGCCCAUCGAAGCCUACACACAUGCGUGUGACUUCUUUGGAGUUUGAUUUGAGGGGGACUGCAAUGAUUGUGAUGUGCGUGAAAGCGCUGCUAAGCUGUGCUCCACUUAUCCGACAGAUCUGGAUAGUUCCUUCUCAGACAAACUUAUUCAGUUCAAGCACUUGACUUCACCUGUACAUCUUCUGCAAGCUCUUGAGAGACAUGGACUUAAGACAACAUUUCCAAAUGUUUAUGUUGCAAUAAGCAUGUUUUUAACCUUGCCUUUGUCUAACUGUGAGAGGUCGUUUUCUGUUUUGAAACGAGUUAAAAAUGAGCUGAGGACCACAAUGUCACAGACACGGCUCUCUGCACGUCGAACAUGAACUUGUUAGUGCCCUUGAUAUUGUACACCAGUUUGCAGAAAAGUCCAGAAAAUGCCACUGUAAGAUGUGUUUGCCAAAUGAAACCAAGCAUUUCAAAUUUAAACAUGCACUUUCCCAUUAUUUAGGAUUAAAAUUGUGUAUGUUGACACAUUAUGUCGCAUUUCUGUAAAUUGUUUAUUGUUGAGAAAAAACAGGCAGAUUUCAAAAUGUUUAUAUUGCACUAUAACUUGAUUGUCCUUGUCCGUGGACUUCCUCU
ensembl:lncRNA